rnacentral:piRNA from 1 species
UGUGAUGAUACUCAGCUACCCCUUAGU